GUCCUAGCCGUAAACGAUGCAUACUUGGUGUAACCGGACUCAACCCCGGUUGUGCCGUAGCGAACGCGUUAAGUAUGCCGCCUGGGAAGUACGCCCGCAAGGGUGAAACUCAAAAGAAUUGACGGGGACCCGCACAAGCAGUGGAGCAUGUGGUUUAAUUCGAUGCAACGCGAAGAACCUUACCCAGGCUUGACAUGCAGAAGACAACACCAGAGAUGGUGUGUUCCUUCGGGACUUCUGCACAGGUGCUGCAUGGCUGUCGU
rnacentral:rRNA from 1 species